AAGCACUGAAUACACUGAUAGAAAAGCAUAUAGUUUAAUUUCCGAAGUACCCAUUGAAUAUUGAAGGAACAUACAAUGUAAUGGCUAUACAAUUUUUUGACUUAAACACAGGGUGAAAUAUGGUCCAUAGUUAUGACUCCAAAUUAUCAGUAGACGUCUCUGCCUGUGACUGCAAACUGCCUGUGUGAGUAAAAACUGAACAGUUUGCUUUGGUUGUAAGAUGUUACAGCUGCUAAACUCACUUUUGAAUGUAAAGCUAACAUUACUUUUGGUUUUCAUUACAGAGUCAGACUGAUACACAGGACCUGGUUUCCUUACAGCCAUAAAUAUCUAAGCAAUGGCUCACCAAGAGACCCAGACCUCGUUCGCUGACCUCUUGUUGCAUUCUCUGGAGGACCUCACUGAAGAUGAGCUGAAUAAGAUUAAAUAUAACCUGAUUCACCUGGCAUAUGAAAAGUAUCAGCGCAUUCCCAGGGGUCAGCUGGAGAAUUUGAACAGAAUGGGCAUCGCCGACAUGAUGAUACGUUCCUAUGGUGAAGUCGGUGCUCUCAAAGUCACGCUUGAAAUUCUGAAGAAGAUGAACCUGAAUGAUCUUGUUCAGAGACUGAAUGAAGACCUGCAGAAGUGUAACCAAGCAGGAAGUGAGCUGGGUGACAUAUCGGACAAAAGGGAGCUCAUGAUGGACAGAAUAAAAUAUAACCUGAAGAAGAAAUUUGCGUGUGUAUUUGAAGGGAAAGCUAAGGAAGGACAGCCAACACUUCUCAAAGAGAUUUACACAGAACUCUACAUAACUGAAGGGGGAGCUGGAGGAGUCAAUGAUGAACAUGAAGUGAGACAGAUUGAAACAUCAUCCAAGAAAAGGCGAACAGAAGAUACUGCAGUCAAGUGCAAUGAUAUAUUUAAACCCUUACGUGGGCGUGAGACACCUAUCAGAACUGUACUCACUAAAGGGGUGGCAGGUAUCGGGAAAACAGUCUCUGUGCAGAAAUUUAUUCUAGACUGGGCAGAAGGAAAAGCAAACCAGGACAUUCACUUCAUAUUUGCUCUUCCUUUCCGGAACCUGAAUUUGGUUAAGGGUGAAUACAGUCUGAUUGAACUGCUUUACCGCUUUAUCCCAGAACUAAAGUCAUUUCAAUCCACUGAGCUGUUAAGUUACAAAGUCUUAUUCAUCUUUGAUGGUCUGGAUGAGUGUCGCCUUCCUCUAGAUUUUCAGAACAAUGAGAGCUGGUUUGAUGUAACAGAGAAAACAUCACUGGAUGCGCUGUUGACUAACCUCAUUAAGGGGGAUCUGCUUCCAUCCUCUCUCCUCUGGAUAACCUCCCGGCCAGCAGCAACCAAUCAGAUACCUCCUGAAUGCAUCGACCAGGUGACAGAGAUACGAGGGUUCAGUGAUGCCCAGAAGGAGGAGUAUUUCAGGAAGAGAUUUAGUGACCAGAGCCUGACUGAAAGGAUUAUCAGACAUGUGAAAUCAUCAAGGAGCCUCUUCAUCAUGUGCCACAUACCUGUGUUCUGCUGGAUUUCAGUCACUGUCCUUGAAAGUCUUUUUAGUGAAACUGACAGUGGAGAAAUUCCAAGGACUCUGACUGAAAUGUACACACACUUCCUGAUCUUUCAGGGGAGUUUGAAAAAUGACAAGUAUAGGCUCCAGACCUCUGCGACCCAGAAUAGGACAAGCUGGUACAGAAAACUGAAGGAUGGAUGGAUGAAAAAAAAUGAAACCAAACAUAUUAAAUGCUUCCUUCUAAAACUCAGUAAACUGGCUUUUCAUAACCUUGAGAAAGGCAAUCUUAUAUUUUACGAGAAAGAUCUGGAACAGAGUGAUCUUGAUGUCAGAGAAACUUCAGUUUACUCUGGAGUGUGCACAGAAGUCUUUAAAGAGGAAUAUGGCUUAUAUCAGGAUAAGGUGUACUGCUUUGUGCAUCUGAGCAUCCAGGAGUAUCUCGCUGCUUUAUACAUCUUUCUAUCAAAGUCAUCAGCUAACCUAUUGAAGACUGCAGUGGAUCAGGCAUUGGAGAGCAAGAAUGGACACUUGGACCUCUACCUCCGCUUCCUCCUGGGCCUUUCAACAGACUCCAGUAAGACUCUGUUAGAAAGGCUUCUGGGACAGACAAGAUUCAGCUCACAUAACAUUUGGAACACAGCCCAAUAUAUCAAGGGGAAAAUAAAGGAGAAUUUAUCCCCAGAAAGGACCAUCAACCUGUUCCACUGUCUGAAUGAACUGGGUGACAAUACUCUAGUAGAGGAGGUACAAAGAUACCUUAAUUCAGGAAGCAUUUCAGCAGAAAAUCUCUCACCUGCACAGUAUUCAGCUCUGGCCUUUGUGAUGCUGAUGUCAGAUGAGGAGCUGGAUGUGUUUGAUCUGAAGAAAUUCUUCAGAUCAGAUAAUGAGCACUGGAGGCUGCUGCCUGUGGUCAAGACAUCCAAGACAGCUCAGCUGAACAGCUGUAAUCUCACUGAGACAUGCUGUGACAUGUUGGCUUUGACUCUCAGAUCAAACUCCUCAUCCCUGAGAGAGCUGGACCUAAGUAACAAUGACCUGCAGGAUUCAGGAGUGAAGCUGCUCUCUGCUGGACUGGGGGAUUCACACUGUAAACUGGAGAUACUGAGUAGGUGGAUUCUAUGCUGGGCACGUGAUAGAGGAUUUUUUUGGUUGAAAAAGGGACAUAUGCAAGCUUGGAAACAUAUAGCUUUUUGACCUGUUUUCACAGCCAGAACAUGGGAGGCUCUGUACAGCCCUCUCCCUGGGGGGAUCGUCAGCGAUUCCCCUCGGCAGUCAGGUGGGGGCGUUUCCCAGCUCUGUUCUGAUCUGGAUGUGAAGGUUAAUCUUUCCCAGGUUAGUCUCCUCUUUUGGGUAAGGAGGCAGGAGACAUUGGGUUGUGGUGGACACCCCAAAUGGACAGUGUUUAUUUUAGGGGGAAAAGGGGGUACAUUUAGAAAGGGCACAUGGCUGGGCCCGGCUCCUUGGUGACGGGCUGAGCAGGUGGGAGGUGGCAGUCCCUUCCGUGUGGUCAUCCCCCAGGCCGUCUGUCUUCAGAGAGAGAGAGAGAAAGAUGACAAGUGGCCUGCUCACCAGUCGGCCUCCCCCCCUGCUGUCCAGGGCUGGUUCAUACGUCACGCAGAUGCGGAUGGACCAUCACAGUGAAGUCAUUUUCAUUGUGGGGUUGUCAACGGUGCAGGCUUUGAGUCGUCCUGGGGGAGGCAAUACUGCCCCCUCUCUAAAGUUCUUAUCAGCUGCUGGUCGCCUCCUGUUGGCAUUCCUCACUUCCUCAUGGGUGUUUCUGCGGCUGACUGCGGGGAUCUAGUGGUUUCAGUCCAGUGCUGUGGUGCUGAUCGUCACCCUUUGGGGUUUAGCCUACUUUCCUGCACCUGUGAUGUCACACCAUUUGCUCUUGGCAUCACCCCAGGGCCUCAUCCUCUCUGCCAUUAGUGCUCUUCUUGUGGCAGGAGUCCAGGGAAUCCAGUUGUUCUAAGUUUCAUGCAGUGGGUCACUGUCACUGGAUGGUUUAAUUUUUAACCUGGCUGAUUUUUGUCUGUUACUACAGAGUCAGUGUGGCUAAAAGAUGAGCUUCAGUGAACUGUGUGUAGCGGCCGAAGGAACAGAGACACACAGGCAAACUCAAGUGUAGAACAUUACCCCCGAAUGGCAGCUUUUUAUCAGGAACAGGAUGAUCAGGGAUGGAGGAAAAGGGGGAGGUUGUCAGGCUGUAGAGUCACAGAAGAAGGCUGUUCUUCCCUG